GCGCCUGUAGCUCAAUGGGCAGAGCAGCUGGUUCUUUCCCAGCGGGAUCCGUGGUUCGAAACCCGGCAGGCGUA
rnacentral:tRNA from 1 species